rnacentral:rRNA from 1 species
UGAGUACGAGAUGCUACGGCAUCGAAGCAGUCUAUGUCAUACUUCCAAGAAAAGCUUGCACUGUCAUAAACAAAGAAUGCCUGUACCAUAACCGACACAGGUGGGUAGGUAGAGUAUACUAAGGGGCGCGAGAUAACUCUCUCUAAGGAACUCGGCAAAAUGACUCCGUAACUUCGGGAGAAGGAGUGCCUUAUUUCUAAGGUUGCAAUAACAAGAUCCAAGCAACUGUUUACCAAAAACACAGGUCUCCGCUAAGUCGUAAGACGAUGUAUGGGGGCUGACGCCUGCCCAGUGCCAGAAGGUUAAAGAAGUUGGUUAGCAUUAGCGAAGCUGAUAACUGAAGCCCUGGUGAACGGCGGCCGUAACGAUAACGGUCCUAAGGUAGCGAAAUUCCUUGUCGGGUAAGUUCCGACCCGCACGAAAGGCGUAAUGAUUUGGAUACUGUCUCGGAGAGGGGCUCGGUGAAAUGGACUUGUCUGUGAAGAUGCGGACUACCUGCACCUGGACAGAAAGACCCUAUGAAGCUUUACUGUAACUUGAGAUUGAAAUUGGACUUUAUUUGCGCAGUAUAGGUGGGAGGCGUUGAGAAUAAUCUUGCGGGAUUGUUGGAGCCAUCAGUGAGAUACCACUCUUGUAAUGUUAGAUUUCUAACUUUGUAUCAUUAUCUGGUCAAAGAACAGUUUCAGGCGGGCAGUUUGACUGGGGCGGUCGCCUCCCAAAGGGUAACGGAGGCGCACAAAGGUUUCCUCUGAACGGGUAGAAAUCGUAUCUAGAGUGUAAAGGCAUAAGGAAGCUUGACUGUGAGACCUACAAGUCGAGCAGGGACGAAAGUCGGUCUUAGUGAUCUGACGGUGCUGAGUGGAAAGGCCGUCACUCAACGGAUAAAAGUUACUCUAAGGAUAACAGGCUGAUCUCCCCCAAGAGUUCACAUCGACGGGGAGGUUUGGCACCUCGAUGUCGGCUCAUCGCAUCCUGGGGCGGUAGUCCGUCCCAAGGGUUGGGCUGUUCGCCCAUGAAAGCGGUACGCGAGCUGGGUUCAGAACGUCGUGAGACAGUUCGGUCCAUAUCCGGUGUAGGCGUUAGAAUAUUGAGAGGAGCCUUCUCUAGUACGAGAGGACCGAGAAGGACAUACCUCUGGUGUACCAGUUAUCGUGCCAACGGUAAACGCUGGGUAGCUAUGUGUGGAGUGGAUAACCGCUGAAAGCAUCUAAGUGGGAAGCCCACCUCAAGAUAAGUAC